rnacentral:rRNA from 1 species
CCUACGGGGGGCAGCAGUGAGGAAUAUUGGUCAAUGGGCGGGAGCCUGAACCAGCCAAGCCGCGUGAGGGAAGAAGGUACAGCGUAUCGUAAACCUCUUUUGUCAGGGAACAAAGGCGGGGACUAGUCCCCGGAUGAGGGUACCUGAAGAAUAAGCAUCGGCUAACUCCGUGCCAGCAGCCGCGGUAAUACGGAGGAUGCGAGCGUUAUCCGGAUUUCUUGGGUUUAAAGGGUGCGCAGGUGGCCGGUUAAGUCAGCGGUAAAAGUCCGGGGCUAAACCCCGGCGGGCCGUUGAAAAUGGCGGUCUGGAGUUGGAGAGAGGUACGCGGAAUGCGCGGUGUAGCGGUGAAAUGCUUAGAUAUCGCGCAGAACCCCGAUUGCGAAGGCAGCGUACCGGCUCCACACUGACGCUGAGGCACGAAAGCGUGGGUAUCGAACAGGAUUAGAUACCCUUGUAGUC